AGAGUUUGAUCCUGGCUCAGGAUGAACGCUGGCGGCGUGCCUAACACAUGCAAGUCGAACGAAGCAUGCCGGAGGAAGUUUUCGGAUGGAAUCCGGGAUGACUGAGUGGCGGACGGGUGAGUAACGCGUGGGUAACCUGCCCUGUACAGGGGGACAACAGUUAGAAAUGACUGCUAAUACCGCAUAAGCGCACAGGACCGCAUGGUCCGGUGUGAAAAACUCCGGUGGUACAGGAUGGACCCGCGUCUGAUUAGGUAGUUGGCGGGGUAACGGCCCACCAAGCCGACGAUCAGUAGCCGACCUGAGAGGGUGACCGGCCACAUUGGGACUGAGACACGGCCCAAACUCCUACGGGAGGCAGCAGUGGGGAAUAUUGCACAAUGGGGGAAACCCUGAUGCAGCGACGCCGCGUGAGUGAAGAAGUAUUUCGGUAUGUAAAGCUCUAUCAGCAGGGAAGAAAAUGACGGUACCUGACUAAGAAGCCCCGGCUAACUACGUGCCAGCAGCCGCGGUAAUACGUAGGGGGCAAGCGUUAUCCGGAUUUACUGGGUGUAAGGGGAGCGUAGACGGCAGAGCAAGUCUGAAGUGAAAGCCCGCGGCCCAACUGCGGGACUGCUUUGGAAACUGCCCGGCUAGAGUGCUGGAGAGGUAAGCGGAAUUCCUAGUGUAGCGGUGAAAUGCGUAGAUAUUAGGAGGAACACCAGUGGCGAAGGCGGCUUACUGGACAGUAACUGACGUUGAGGCU
rnacentral:rRNA from 1 species